GAAAAAAUCAUGUCACUAUGUAGCAGGAACAGGAUAACUUAGAUCAUAAGGCAGAGCUAUCCACAGCUGGGCCUCAGACCAGGCCUCAGGCCAGGGCCUAGUAGGCCUAGUACGUCCAGCAUACGUAGUACCAGAUAAGGUUAUCUGGUACUGGGAAUGUGUUAAGGUAGGGGUGUUACUAGCAUGGAACAGUUACUGGGAAGACACGGUGGCUACCUUAAACUGCAAUAGCUUACAUACUUCUGUAUGUUCACUGCCUAUCAGAAUGCACCUGUUCUUGUAAACUAUUCUGUCUGUAUUUAACCUGCCAUCUCAAGGAAUAAAGGGAAGAAAGUGUGAUAUACCCACAUUGGGUCAGACCCCGUUCUUUAGUCCCCGAUCUUUAACUGUUCCCGGCAACAUAGUGGCACCUGAACCUGGGACAGUGUUUUCUCUUAAAUGAGGGUUUUUAUUUUCUCUUAAAUGAGGGUUUUUGUCGCUUGAAUGCGGAGUUUUUGCUUAGAUGCAGGAAAGUCCUUGUGCUUGGAAAGUGAUUCGUGUGCUUGCAUACACCUGUUCCGAGCUGGCAAGGCAGAUCAGGGAGCGAUUGCUGACUGGUUUCGCUUGGAAGGUCCGCGGUGCCCUCCCCCACUGCUGACGGAAAGAAGGUAAGCAGCGAUCGCAGAAGGAGUCAAAAAAAGACUUUAAAAAGAAACGAUGGCAAGAGAUUACGCUGCUGUUUUUCAGUGUGGAGCCAUCGGUGCCUCCCAGAGGGGCGAAAAGAUAAGAACUAAUAUGGAAAAAUUAGCCCUAUGGGUUCAGAAAGAACGAAAGCCAAAGCGGCCAUCGCUUCUUUUUAGUGAAGCAGGAUGGAAGGAAAAAGGAGGAUUAAUAUGGGACGCUGUAGUUUUACUAGGAAAAAGAGCAAAGAUACGUUCAGAGUUAAGCGUAAUUUGGGAAAAAGCAAUAAAUACCUUGCAAACAUUUGCUGUAAAGAGUAAGGCCGUAAUUUUAGUUGGAGAGGAACGGACUCCCUGUCCCUCUGUUUCCCUCUCCAAGAUAAAAAAAAAAAAAAAGAAAACAUCUAAGGUAGCUACGCGCUUCAGUAGAAAUUCCAUGCAUUCCACGCAUUCCGAAAGUGAGAAUGCAGCUCCGCUUUGCCCCUCCCUUUGUUCGUCUCUGGCCGGCUACGCAGGGAGUGGGCAGGAAAUGCUUUCUCCAGCUCUCGGGCAAAAUGAAGACAACCAGGAAGUGGCUCAGCUGCCAGACCCGGGAGGCGGUGCGAAAGACGAGAAGGCAGGCGGGGCCGAAGGCGGAACAAGGAGGGCACAAGUGAUGCAGCAAGGAGGUGGAUCUCGGGGCGGUGCUAGAAGCAGGGCGGUGUUGGAUUCCUCCUCACAGGAAAAGGAGCUGACGUCAUCACAAGCAAAAACAACCAAAAUAAAUGCGUCUAUGUCAACCCCCGAGAAACCAGACCCAGCUCGAUUAAAGGCUCUUGUGCUCCUGCAGUUGGCAUCAACGAACUCUAUCACCCUAUCGCUGCUUCUUAACAUGAGCCUUCUAUGUCUGCUCUGACUUUCUGUCUCUAAGAAGUGUCUCACAACCCCUCCUCGGACACCAGCCUGCUUUGCCCAUCCCUGCCCCAGGAGAAACAGCAGCACCCCAGGCUACUCCCUGCAUCUGAAGGUCAGAAAUAGAAAGAGGAUUUACUGGAGGUUUUCUUCCAAGAAGGUCGAAAAUAUGAACAAUCGAGACACCUGCUUGUUUUAAAAACCCUUUGUUUUCAAGUACCUCGUCCAUAAAUUUUAAACAUUGUUUCCUAAUUUAAAAUUGAACUCCAGCUACAAACUUCCAGCUUUUAGCCUUCACCUUUUACUGCCACAUUUACUCUUCCGGAGCCCUUUUGUUUGUAAUCAUGGUGUCCCCUCAAUCCUCGUUCCAACCACCUUUUAGUUAAAAUACUUCAAGUCAGCAAACUCCCAACCUUUCAACUAACAUCCAGGAUUGUAUCCCAGCUCAUAGGUGGAAUUAUGAGCCCAGGCAGUAUUCCAGCACGAACACAGCAAUAUCUAGGUGCACCCCAGCACCUCUCAGCUCUCCACCACCACUCCUCCAGCACCUGGUUUUCUUGGAAAGAGAAGGAAGCUGUGUUUUCUCUCACUGACUUCUCAGUAUAGACAACAUAUGGCUCAAAACUGUGAGGCAAUCUGCUCAGAGUCUGGCUGCACUCUCAGCUCUAACUCAAUACAGCUUUUCACUUAAAGUUUCUACGAAUACAAUUCCUUGGGGACAGCACUGAAAGACAACCCCAGUUCAUCGCACAUCCAGCCAAUGCAAGCCUGGAUCGAUCAGCUUGAAUAGACUUCCAUUUGUACAAAGAAAAAGGGGAAAAAUUUGCAUUUUUCUUUGCCCAUCCAUAUGUAGCUCAUCAAAAUCCAGUCUCCCACCUGCAAUUCUUUAAGCUAUGUAUGUAGAAGGAAACAAGAAACAGAAGGAUUUCUUCCCCCCUGGAUAAAUUGAUUCAAUUCCCCUGUCAUGCACUAGUGCUAAGGCACUGCCAUCUAGUGUGGAAAAUCAAUAUAACAAAGAAAGAGGAAAAAUAGAAAGGAAAAAAAAAAGAAAAUAAUAAUAAUAAAUAAAUAAAAGAGAGUAUUUACAAAAAGGCAGAUGAAAUUCUAUUGACUUGCAUCAAUUUUGAAUACCCACUCAUGAUAUUCAUAACAUUCAUCAUUCCACUUCAUGGUAAAGCACAGAAGCCCUCCCUUUUAAGGAAAAUCCCUGACCUGAUAGGCUGCAGUGGAUUCCAUUAGAUGGUACUGUGUCAUGUCAGACAAACUCAGCAGAGCCCUUAGUCCCAGUACCUCGUUUGGAGUAACUCUGUGAAACUAAAAUUCUACAGUAUUUAAUGGUAGGAAUCUCUUGGUAGAAAACAGCUUUUUCUUUAUUGCCACAUAUUUUACUGCAAAUUUACAGUUUCAAGACUUGAUUCUCUAAAUCAUGUCAUAUGGAAAGAAUUGCAACAUAGCAAUCUGCAAGACCAGAGAAUCAGAAAUUUUUGGAUUUUGUCAUUUUGUGUACUAGCCAAAGAUUUUCUCUUGCCUCCUAAACAUUCCUGUCCAUUCCAGUCCCAGUUUCCUCUGUUUUAUGUCCUGUGGAAUUACCUACAAUUGUUCAGUGAACGUGCAAAGGAUUUGACCUGUUUCACUUGGACCAGCUUUGUACGGAUGAAGUUAACUACACACGACAUGAGCCAAUGGAGCAUGGAUAGGAUAAAUUUACAAAAGCUGUAGAGCCUUCAUAAAGACCAGUGAUUAUAAACACCUUUAUAUUAUUUAGUAUUUCUACAGUUUGUAGUAAUCUCUGUAUUACCCCUGUUACAAUCGAGAAUUUUAAACACUUGAGUUACAAUGUUGCCGACUUCUUUCCAGAACUGUAGCAAGACAGGUUUAUGUUUGGCUGGUACAGAUAUUCUGUAUCAUCCUGAACAAAACCCUCUAUAGAAUACAAAGCUACAUCAACGACUGAAAGUUCACGCAACACAAGCCAAAGGGGCUUUAAUACCGUGUCACUUGAGUUUUGAUUUAUAUUUAAUGUGGAUGUAGAGGGACAGACUAGCUGACACCACCAAGACAUCCAGAUGUUCUCCAAGUGGAUGUAGGUGAGCUCAUAACAAGGGUAUCUGUACCAAUCUGCCCAAUCCCUCCAUUGCAAUAACUAGUGAUGGAAAUGCACUAUGCCUUAACAACAUGUGCCCCACUUAAAGGAAUAACUUUUGAGAAGAAAACAUAUUACUCUGGGCACAACUGACACAAUUACAUUGAUGUUAUUUUGACAAUCUACAACUGACACAAGAACCUACUUAAGAUUUUUUCAUUAUGCUGCUUCUCUAUGACCACGUAUCUAUAUUUAUCUAUUAGGUGUCAGUCAAAGCAAGCAAUAUUUCUGUUUUAAUUUGUUGUCAUAAGGGAAUUUUUAACAGCACAAAGAACCUUCAGUUACAUCACUUCAGACAUCUUUUCAGUAAUGUGAGAAAAGCAAGAUGAAUAUCCAACAUUUUUUAAAUAAUCCUAGUUACUAGUGCCUCAUGUUCUAUUCUUACAUUAAAAUUUCAAGAAGGAAAAAAAUUUAAACUGUUGAAAUAGCCUAAUAAUUAACUACCUUGUACUAAUGCUAUGCACCCAUUCCGCAGUGUAUUGCUAACAAGUAACUCCACAUUGCUCAUAUUUCCUUUACUAUUAUUUUUAAUAGUAAGAAAAAGGCUACCAAAAUAAUCCUCUUCAGCAUUUUUGCAGUUGCUACAUAAAUUGAUUCAAGCUGUGCUAGGGGGAAAAUACAGAGGCUGAAAAACAGCAGCAAAAAAAUAUGUCACAAUAAAGGAACUCAACACUGAUUAAAACCAUCAAAAUGGAGAGAAACCCAAAGAAAUGCAAGGCAGUCUGUCACCUUUAUGAGAGAGAGCACCAGAAUCUCUCUAAAGAAUGACAACAAAAAUGAUUGAAGUUUUAAACAGUGGUGAUUUUCUAAGUUUGUAAGAAUUCUUUCUCCAAGCAACAUCAUCAACAACCAGAGUACUAUCCAAUAUGCAGUUUGAUUACUUUUUCAGAUACGUUCUUAACUGUGGCCUAUUUAACAUUCUAUGGUCUUGAAUUCGGGUCAGAGAGUCAUGUAAGAAACAUUAUCCUGAAGCUACUCUUUCCAUUCUGAUACAACACACUGAUGUAAGUAAAAAUACAACAUAAAGCUAAAGGUUUGAAGUUUUUCACUUUGAGAAUAAUCAGAAUUUAUAGCUUUCCAGCUUCUACUUACCUGCAGCAGUUCACUUCUUUUCCAAGAAGUGUUUUCAAAUAGCCAAUGUCAAUGUAAAUCACAUCAGAGAAGAGAACCACAAGAUAACUUUGGAGUAGUCCAACCUCCUGCUCAAAAGCACGGCCAGUUAUGAGGUUGGAUCAGCUUAGCAGGGCUUGAUCCAGACAAGUCCUGAAAGCCUCAAAGGAUGCACAACAUGCACAGCAUCACUGUUCCAACACCUCCUGGAGGAAAUGGUUUGCCUUUUAUCAAGGAACUUUUAAAUCUAUUAGGAAGCUUGAAGGGUGAGUGUUAUAUGCCUACCACAUGUAGCAUUUAACACUCAAUUUCCUGAUCCACAGCCUAAAACCAUAUACCUUUUUGAAUAGAAGCUAUGGCAACAUGCUCUGGACCACUAGUAAUUGUCUAGUAGUAUUAUCAAGUGACUGCUUGAAAAUGAAGCAAAUAGCUUCUACUAGCAUUGCUUUCACUGUUACAAACUGACUUAAUUGAGCAAAUUAAUGAAUGAGAGCUAACCACUGCUAGAAAUCAAGGUGAACUUCGAUAAAAUAUCAAUUUUUGGAUUGCUAAACCUACACUAUAACCACAGGAUAAGGAAGGAAAGAAAUAAGUGAGGUUUAGUGCCAGUCACAGAGGUGAUAAGAAAAACCAAAUUUUCCAAAUCAGCAGUCUAAGUUCAAGGUUUUCUAUCCCUGCUGCUUGCCUGGUACUCAAGAUGCAGAUGGAAAUUUUCACUGAACUUGACUGGAUUUUCUGAAAAUACAUUCAAGAUUGAAAGCAUUGAUUUGGAGGCCAAUUUUACUCUCAUAUUAUUCUCAAACAUGAUUCAUUACAUGGCUCAUUAAAAAGGUUAACUAUUUUUGCUAAUAAUCUCACUAUGAUGACAGAGGAUAAUCCUGAUUUCAAAAUCAUGUAUUAAAAUAUUUAAAAAAAGGAUAUCUUCUCAAUGUUCAGAAUAUUUUUACUGUGUUCAGAAAAUACAGCUAAGCAACCACGCCAGGCUCCUUUGUACCUUUAUACAUCCCACGUGACAAUACAAAAAGUCUUGCAUACAUCAUUAAUAUUAAUUAAAAAUGAAACAUUUUGCCAUAGUCUAAAAAGCAAAUAACUUGUCACAUUUUUUUUUAAUUUCAAGUUACCUAUUGCUUAUAACAACUGCUCUUGUCCCUCUGUACUUUGCAGACAAAGAAUAUUUAGAUUAACUACACAAAGUUUGAGUUUACUAUUGAAUUUAAGCUGCUUCAGCAGCAUGGUUGCAGGAACACAAAGGGUGUGCCAUACCAUUGCAUAAAUAUUAGUUAGAUGCAACUCUGCUCUUACUGGUGCCUUUGACCAAGAACCCUUUGGUUUUCCUGCAUAGAAAUAACUCAAGGAGCUAUUGGUCAUGUAUUUUGUGCUAUAACAGGUUUUUAAACUGUGGAAUGCCCCACCUUGACUGAUUGCUCUAGCACUGAAGCAGACCUGUGAUUAUGGCACCUGGCCAGAGGUCCUUGGAGGAUGCAGCUCUUGGCUUAUUUGCUGGUAUUCACACAGGGUAGACAUGGCCUCAUAUAUAUAUACAUACCCAUGGGACACCCUCAGGGCUGCACCAGCCCUGACAGACCCACUGGGUUUCCCCAGCUGCCCAGGACACAUUCCAGCUGUACCCCUGGGGAUGGCAGACCCCAAGACAGCAGAACAGACACUCUCCAGCCCCCUCUCCAGCUCCCCGUGGCCUUGCAGCCACCUUGCCAAGUCCACCCAAAAGCACCACGAGCCCCACACAUGCUUUUGGCAAGGGUGACCAAUGUUCAGCCUUGCUCCUAAGUCCACGUCAGACUCCUCAAAUCAGAAAAGCAAAACCAUCUUGUAAAGCCAUGGACUUGCACAGGCCAUGCAGUUUUUAUUCAUGGCAUCCCUAGAAAUGGGAUUUAGGAAGGAAGCACUGCCAGGAGAUAGUCACUGGGGAACUGAUUAGACAGACAGCAUUUAACCUAAUCUCCUCUGCCAUGAGCACAUUCUGCUUCCUGUAAUCAAAUGUGAUCACAGAUGCAAUUAUUUAGGGGCAUAAUUCCACCAAUUUAGACACCAAACUACUUCAGCUACAAGUGGAAAAAAUAAAUACUGAAAGUAGAGGAGCAGAAAUGUGUGUUGUUAUGAUUGGAGGCUGAACUGCUAGACAGAUAAAAGUCAUAUGAAGAUAUAAACUUAGCAGGUUAUGACUUAAAAAAUUCCAAUAAUCUUCAAGUAUCUAAAUAACAAACAAUUCUGAAAAGUUUGUCCCUUCUAUCCUAACGACUUAUAGGGUUAUUUUGAGGGCAAAGGAUGUCAUUAUCUGCUACUCCAUAUGUUUUAGGGGGAACAAAACCACACAGACUGUGUGUCUCUCUGUCCAUAAGAUUUAGAGAGGUUAUAUUCACUUCCUGUAUCCCCAGAAACAAACUGACAGUGUGAAGAUGAUAAAUUUGUAUUUGCAAGCUAUGACAACAUUAGGAUAGGUAAACAAGCACAGCUUUCUAAGGGAUCGGUAACAGAAAACUGAAUUCUUGGGAAAGCAAAAAUUCCAAGCUGGAUUGCUAAUUACAGUGGUCUUAGCUCCAUUCCGUAAAGAUUUUUGUUUCACUCUUUAAAUAUGAUAAGGUUUAACUACACAUACAGAUUCUGAAAAUUCCUUCUGCAAAGAAGUGGCACUUCAAAUGGGUAAGUCAUGCAGAAAAGCACGUGUGGGAUUUGAUGCCAAAAUUUUGAAAUUAAAAGAGGACAGAAACAACCUUGCUUGAACAACAGUCCCAUUCCAUCUUGCAUCAUAAAUAGCUAAAUUAUUUUGUUCUUUCUUUUCUUCCCUGAAGUCCAUGUAGCUUCUGCAAUAUUGAUCACAUUUGUAUAAAGCUGUAUAAUGGUAUUUUUAGAAGGACAGAAUGAGUGAUAUUUAUAUUACCAAACACUGCAAAGAGACAAAAAUAGAUGGAAAGGCAAGAGUAGCCAUGCCUUUGCUUUGUUUCAGAACUGCUCAAAAGCCACAGUAGCCAUUAACAACAGAAAUAGUAACAGCUGUCCAAAAAGAACAAUACUGCCUAUAAAAGAGUUACUGUAAGAAGAAAGGGAAAGAAAAUGUGUUUACUAAAAAAAAAAAAAAAAAAAGGCAAAAA